GACGAACCGAGCGAACGUUGUUCGGAAUCACUGGGCUUAAAGGGCGCGUAGGCGGGCUGCCAAGUCCGUGGUGAAAUCCCCCGGCUCAACCGGGGAAGGGCCUCGGAUACUGGCGGCCUCGAGGGGGGUAGGGGCGUGCGGAACUGUGGGUGGAGCGGUGAAAUGCGUUGAUAUCCACAGGAACUCCGGUGGCGAAGGCGGCACGCUGGACCCCAUCUGACGCUGA
rnacentral:rRNA from 1 species